rnacentral:misc_RNA from 1 species
GAUGAAGAACGCAGCGAAAUGCGAUAAGUAAUGCGAAUUGCAGAAUUUCCGUGAGUCAUCGAAUCUUUGAACGCACAUUGCGCCCCCUGGUAUUCCGGGGGGCAUGCCUGUCCGAGCGUCAUUGCUGCCCAUCAAGCACGGCUUGUGUGUUGGGUCGUCGUCCCCCCCUCCGGGGGGGGACGGGCCCUAAAGGCAGCGGCGGCACCGCGUCCGAUCCUCGAGCGUAUGGGGCUUUGUCACCCGCUCUGUAGGCCCGGCCGGCGCUUGCCGAACGCAAAACAACCAUUCUUUCCAGGUUGACCUCGGAUCAGGUAGGGAUACCCGCUGAACUUAAGCAUAUCAAUAAGCGGAGGA